GAUGAACGCUGGCGGCGUGCUUAACACAUGCAAGUCGAACGAUGAAGCUCAGCUUGCUGGGUGGAUUAGUGGCGAACGGGUGAGUAACACGUGAGUAACCUGCCCUUAACUCUGGGAUAAGCCUGGGAAACUAGGUCUAAUACCGGAUAGGAGCGCCUACCGCAUGGUGGGUGUUGGAAAGAUUUAUCGGUUUUGGAUGGACUCGCGGCCUAUCAGCUUGUUGGUGAGGUAAUGGCUCACCAAGGCGACGACGGGUAGCCGGCCUGAGAGGGUGACCGGCCACACUGGGACUGAGACACGGCCCAGACUCCUACGGGAGGCAGCAGUGGGGAAUAUUGCACAAUGGGCGAAAGCCUGAUGCAGCGACGCCGCGUGAGGGGUGACGGCCUUCGGGUUGUAAACCUCUUUCAGUAGGGAAGAAGCGAAAGUGACGGUACCUGCAGAAGAAGCACCGGCUAACUACGUG
rnacentral:rRNA from 1 species